rnacentral:rRNA from 1 species
GUAGGGAAUAUUGCGCAAUGGACGAAAGUCUGACGCAGCGACGCCGCGUGAGUGAUGAAGGCCUUAGGGUCGUAAAGCUCUGUUGAAUGGGAAGAAAAAAAUGACGGUACCAUUCGAGGAAGGACCGGCUAACUUCGUGCCAGCAGCCGCGGUAAUACGAGGGGUCCUAGCGUUGUUCGGAAUCAUUGGGCGUAAAGGGUGUGUAGGUGGCCAUGUAAGUCAGGUGUGAAAGCCCCGGGCUCAACCCGGGAAGUGCACUUGAUACUGCGUGGCUUGAGUACCGAAGAGGGUAGUGGAAUUCCAGGUGUAGUGGUGAAAUACGUAGAGAUCGGGAGGAACAUCCGUGGCGAAGGCGGCCAUCUGGACCAGCACUGACACUGAGGCACGAAAGCGUGGGGAGCAAACAGGAUUAGAAACCCCUGUAGUCC